rnacentral:tRNA from 1 species
GCCUAGGUAGCUCAGGUGGUUAAGCACCCGACUUCGGCUCAGGUCAUGAUCUUGUAGUUUGUGGGUUCAAGCCCCGCAUUGGGCC